GUUGAAGAACGUAGCGAACGUGCGAAACGUAAUGUGAAUUGCAGAAUUCAGUGAAUCAUCGAAUCUUUGAACGCAUCUUGCGCUCCUUGGUAUUCCGAGGAGCAUGCCUGUUUGAGUGUCGUGAAAUACUCUCAAUUUCAAUCUUUUUGUUUGAAAUUGGAUUUGGGCGUUGUCGUGAAUUCACGACUUGCCCUAAAUGCAUUAGCGAUCCCUGUCUUUGAUCACACAAUGUGAUAAUAAAAAAACAUUGUUACAGUCGAGUCAAGGUUGCUUCUAACUGUCUGUCACCAGACAACCAUUACAUGUCAUUUGACCUCAAAUCAGGUAGGACUACCCGCUGAACUUAAGCAUAUCAAUAAGCGGAAGA
rnacentral:misc_RNA from 1 species